rnacentral:tRNA from 1 species
GGCAUCGGCCGGGAAUCGAACCCUGGCCGCCCGCGUGGUAGGCGAGCAUUCUACCACUGAACCACCGAUGC